rnacentral:rRNA from 1 species
AGUGGGGAAUAUUGCACAAUGGAGGAAACUCUGAUGCAGCAACGCCGCGUGGAGGAUGACACAUUUCGGUGCGUAAACUCCUUUUAUAUGGGAAGAUAAUGACGGUACCAUAUGAAUAAGCACCGGCUAACUCCGUGCCAGCAGCCGCGGUAAUACGGAGGGUGCAAGCGUUACUCGGAAUCACUGGGCGUAAAGCGCGCGCAGGCGGCCUGAUAAGUUGGAUGUGAAAGCCUACGGCUCAACCGUAGAACUGCAUCCAAAACUGUCAGGCUAGAGUGUGGGAGAGGAAGAUGGAAUUAGUUGUGUAGGGGUAAAAUCCGUAGAGAUAACUAGGAAUACCAAAAGCGAAGGCAAUCUUCUGGAACACUACUGACGCUGAGGCGCGAAGGCGUGGGGAGCAAACAGGAUUAGAUACCCUGGUAGUCCACGCAGUAAACGAUGAAUGUUAGUCGUCGGGGGCCUAGUGUCUUCGGUGAUGCAGCUAACGCAUUAAACAUUCCGCCUGGGGAGUACGGUCGCAAGAUUAAAACUCAAAGGAAUAGACGGGGACCCGCACAAGUGGUGGAGCAUGUGGUUUAAUUCGAAGAUACGCGAAGAACCUUACCUAGCCUUGACAUAUAUUAGAACUCCGUAGAGAUACAGAGGUGCCUUCGGGAGCUUUUAUACAGGUGCUGCACGGCUGUCGUCAGCUCGUGUCGUGAGAUGUUGGGUUAAGUCCCGCAACGAGCGCAACCCUCGUCACUAGUUACUAACGGUUCGGCCGAGGACUCUAGUGAGACUGCCUUCGUAAGGAGGAGGAAGGUGAGGACGACGUCAAGUCAUCAUGGCCCUUACGGCUAGGGCAACACACGUGCUACAAUGGCCAGGACAGUGAGACGCGAUACCGCGAGGUGGAGCAAAUCUAUAAACCUGGUCUCAGUUCGGAUUGUAGUCUGCAACUCGACUACAUGAAGCUGGAAUCACUAGUAAUCGUAGAUCAGCUAUGCUACGGUGAAUACGU